UACGUAGGGGGCUAGCGUUGUCCGGAAUCAUUGGGCGUAAAGCGCGUGUAGGCGGUUCGGUAAGUCUGCUGUGAAAGUCGGGGGCUCAACCCUCGGAUGCCGAUCGAUACUGUCGGGCUAGAGUCCGGAAGAGGCGAGUGGAAUUCCUGGUGUAGCGGUGAAAUGCGCAGAUAUCAGGAAGAACACCCGUGGCGAAGGCGGCUCUCUGGGACGGUACUGACGCUGAGACGCGAAAGCGUGGGGAGCGAACAGG
rnacentral:rRNA from 1 species